AUUGAACGCUGGCGGCAGGCUUAACACAUGCAAGUCGAGCGAGCGGCGGACGGGUGAGUAAUGUCUGGGAAACUGCCUGAUGGAGGGGGAUAACUACUGUAAACGGUCGCUAAUACCGCAUCCCAUCAGAUGUGCCAAGAUGGGAUUAGCUAGUAGGUGGGGUAAUGGCUCACCUAGGCCACGAUCCCUAGCUGGUCUGAGAGGAAGACCAGCCACGCUGGAACUGAGACACGGUCCCAACUCCUACGGGAGGCAGCAUGGGGGAAUAUUGCACAAUGGGGGCAAGCCUGAUGCAGCCAUGCGGCGUGUGUGAAGAAGGCCUUCGGGUUGUAAAGCACUUUCAGCGAGGAGGCGUUAUUCGCAGAAGAAGCACCGGCUAACUCCGUGCCAGCCGCCGCGGUAAUAC
rnacentral:rRNA from 1 species